CGUAGCCGGCGCCGAGCGCGGUGGGAGAGCAGCGGGUACCCGGCUGGCUCGGCUGGCGGCCUCUGCCCGCACCUCGGCGCCGCAAGCCCCGCGCCUCGCCCGCCCUUGGCUUCGGGGGGUCCGAGGCCGCUGGUAAUAGAGGGGCCGGCGGAGCCCGGCACUGCUGGAG
rnacentral:lncRNA from 1 species